GUGAGUGUAGCUCAACGGUAGAGUAUCGGACUGUGGAUCCGAGCGUUGCGGGUUCAAAUCCCGUCACUCACCCCA
rnacentral:tRNA from 1 species